rnacentral:tRNA from 2 species
CUCUCCGUAGCUCAGUUGGCAGAGCAGCUGACUCUUAAUCAGCGGGUCGUGGGUUCGAAUCCCCCCGGGGAGA